CCUACGGGAGACAGCAGUGAGGAAUAUUGGUCAAUGGGCGUAAGCCUGAACCAGCCACGCCGCGUGAGGGAAGAAGGUUCUAUGGAUCGUAAACCCCUUUUAUAAGGGAGUAAAGUGUGGGACGUGUCCCGUUUUGUAUGUCCCUUAUGAAUAAGGAUCGGCUAACUCCGUGCCAGCAGCCGCGGUAAAACGGAGGAUCCGAGCGUUAUCCGGAUUGAUUGGGUUUAAAGGGUGCGUAGGCGGCCUUUUAAGUCAGCGGUGAAAGUCUGUGGCUCAACCAUAGAAUUGCCGUUGAAACUGGGAGGCUUGAGUAUGUUUGAGGCAGGCGGAAUGCGUGGUGUAGCGGUGAAAUGCGUAGAUAUCACGCAGAACCCCGAUUGCGAAGGCAGCUUACCAAUCUAUAUCUGACGUUGAGGCACGAAAGCGUGGGGAGCAAACAGGAUUAGAUACCCCAGUAGUC
rnacentral:rRNA from 1 species